AUGGCCGUCACCGUGCACUACAGAGGCCCGAACGGGCCAAAAUAAAUGGAUUACCUGGGCUGCAGUGGUGACUUAAGAGGCCGGCGGGGGAGUGGGAAUCUUCAUGGACCCCCCUGUGGCAUAUAGGAAGCACCCCCAAGGGGCUAAAGGGUUGCAGUGCACCGUUUCUUCCAGGUGCCUGAUGGAACACAGAGCAGAUACAAGUUGACCAAGUGCAAUGCAAAGGAAGUUCACGUCCAGGCAGGCAGUACUGACGAGCUUCCCUCAGUCCAAGCUGGCACUGCAUCUGCACUACUUACCGGAAGCCCAGGCAGGCAAUGUGGACGAGGCAACAGUUUGGUCAGGGCACAUCAGAGGCUUGUUGUACAAACGUCAUGGCAGCAAAUCUGGAUUCCAAGCAACAGCUGUAUACUUGACAAAAUGCUGCAGCCACGCCUGGCUCUCUUUCUUAUAUUAUGUAUUAGGCAUACAAUUUAAAAACUG